ACUGGAGUGUGAUGCUGACCACUCACCCCUGUCUAAUGCUGAGGUAAAGAAUGAGUAGGAGCUAUACCUCCUCUUCCCCCAAGCGCCUGCAUGGUGUAUAGUGGGACAGCUUUACUUUACUUUGUACUGUAGUGAUAAAGACUAACACUCAAUUUUAAAAAGUUAUUGUUGAUUUGAGAUCCUUUUGUGCUAUCUCAGAGCCAGUCAAAUGGCUAGACAAGUUCCACAUAGAAAUAUUCAUCCUAUGAGCAGAUUUCAUGUGUGUUGAUAAGGAAGUCCCUUUCAGAGAUGAAAAGAGUGAUUCAAACACUUUAUCAUAAAAGUGGUCUCCCCACAUUUCAUAAACCUAGCAGUUCAUAAUUUAUUAACUAAAUUACAUAAUCCAGCUUACAAGUUGAAUGUAUUAUAAUUAGUAAAAAUAUUUUACUUCUUGAAAAUAACAUUCAAUUUAGUACAGUGUGUAUUUUGUACCUUUGAUGUGUAUAUUAACUUGGUAUAUUCAGAAAUUUACGUGCCAAUUAAAUGAACAUGUCUGCCAUGUCGUACUUUGUUUCAGUUGCAUGUUGGUUUUUGCUGCAUUUGUAUAUAUAUAUAUAGUUCAAAGAGUUUUGAAAAAGAAAACAAUCCUUAUUAUAAACAACUGCUUUUAGGUGUAGCACAAUACAGUUUGGUUUCAUUCUGUCUGAUCCUGGAAGUCCCCAUAAAUGUUUAGAAUAUGUACAGACUCUUAAGUAUCAUUAUGCAUAUAUUGGAAAAUAAACUAAAGAAUUCUAAAUUAAUUUUAUUUGAAUUGUUAAAAUAGAUGAUUAUGAAUGGAUUUUUCCAUGGAUAUAAAUGCCAGUAGCUCCAAUCGUGAUGAAUGUGUGGAAACAGCACUAGAAAAAUACAAAUACAAUACAGUAACUGAACUUUCCUUGAUGUGUUUGUUCACAAGUAAUUGUGUUCCCUUGGUCUGUGGUCUCCAGCUAGUUACUUUUGAACUAAUUACCUAAAGUUAACAUCUGUGGGUGAUUUUUAUUGUUGCUUAGGGAAAUGUGAAGUUUGAGGAGUUUACUUGAGUAUUGAGUCCUGCACACAGCAUGGAUUAUUGUGUGUUACAUUUCAUCAGAUUGGCUCUUGGAUAGCACAAAAGGAACUGUAUUGAUGGUGCAGUACUGCUAACUGUUAUAUGUGCCUGCCAUGUAUUAUAGUUGUACUAAAAGAUUGUAAAUCAGUUUUGCUGUAUAAAUAUUAGAAUAAUGUGAUAUACCUUAACAUAUUUUUUCUUACAAGAUUUAGCUGAUUGAAAAUUAACCCUUUGACAAGUAUGAACACACCAGAAUAUUUAGCAUCACAGUGCUGCAUGGAGUAUGAACAUAUCUGUAUGUUUUCCACUUGCCUUGUCCUGUAGAGUGCACACACAAGGAAAUAUUUGCUUUGCUAAGGACAAAAAGAUUUGAUAAUCUAAUUGUACUGAGUGGUCAGUUUGUUUGUUUCUCUCUUACUCAUAAUAUUCUUAUCAAAAGUGGCAUAAGUGAUGGAAUUUUAUUGAGAGGAAACAAACCAACUCUGGCAUUUAGGGUAUGAGAAUGGAACUGUGAUAAUGAAAAUGGUUAGUAAACCUCCAUUUUAUCUUUAGGCACCCAUGACUCUUCAUCCCAGAAAUUUAUAAAUGGUAUUCUAUUUAUCUUCAUUCAAUACAUAUAGUACUGUGCUUUGUGAUAGUCUUCAAUUUCAAUGUUAAUGUUUGAAACAUUUAACUUAUAUCUGAGUUUAUUGGUGUUCUAGUCUUGUAAUACACAACAAAGUAUAUAGAAACUUAAUUUCUGUUUCUAGACUUUUGGUGUCCCUUUUCUUAAAUACCUAGGCCUUGUUACCAUACUUCAAAGUUGCUUAUGAUGUAAUGUAUAUUAUUUAUUUUUGUUUCUGUUGACAUAUGUUUUGCAUAAUCUAUAAUGUUGUUCCCUUAAAUGAUAGUAUGCCUUUAUUGUUUCUAAGAGCUCCACAGCUUCAGGUCACUGUUAGCAUGGGUACAUGCAGCGUGGUAGACUUGAGUUCUUCAUGUGGCCAAGAUUGAAUGUCACAAUAGAAUGGUUAGCAUGCCAGCGUAGUGGCCACGCGGACUGAGGCAUGAACCUCGUGCGCCUGGCCGCUGCGACCAUGGGUUCGAGUCCCAGUCAAGGCAUGGAUGUUUGUUCACAUCUUUCUGUGUUUGUAUAUGUAGAAGCCUUGCAGAUAGAGCUGAUCACUCGUUCUACCAAGGUCCAAAAAAUAGAUCAGUCAUAAGCCUCCAAGAGAGGUAACAAUGCAGACCCUGCAAAUGUGGGACAAAUGUGAAUGAAGAAAAUAAAAAUAGAAUUAAUUUCUGGGAAGUGUCAGGUUCAAAUUUUGUCCUGGAGUCUGGUUAUCAUGUCUGAGCUUUUGUAGUUUUACUCAGUCCCUUGAGGCAAAUGCCAGCUUAAUACUGUAAAUUAAGCCACAACCACUUCCACUUCCACAUCCUUCCAAAUCCACUGUUUACUUGUCAUCGUAUCAUUCUACAAUUUGUGAUCAGUGCUGUUGACAGCAUCAUUAAAUUAACUAUAAUUACAUUCAUUUGACCAAUAGAUUGAAAUUUACAGGGUUGAGGUCUACAUCAUGGAGUGCAGGAAACAGGGCUUUGGGCACAUAAUGAUUCCAAUGUACAGUACUAUGUGAGAGGAGAUAUAUACAGUGUGUUCGUAAAAUAAUGGUGGGGUAACAAAAAGUCAUAGUUUUGGAACAAAGCAUUAUAAAGACAUGAAAUAAACGUCAAAAUAAAGAGAGACUCCAAUUUUUCGAUACGUAAACAGGUUCUAGCGCAAGCGCAUGAGCGCUGUGCUACAAGGUCAAUAGCCGCGUGAAGCUUGUUAGUCGCCAUGCAGAGGAAGGUUCAAUGUGUUUUGUAGCUUGCUAAGUUUGAGUCAGUUACACUUGUUAGGUGUGAAUACCGUCGUGUGUUUAAUGAAAAACCACCACACAAAAAUAACAUUCGCCGUUGGGACAAACAACUCGGAGAAACGGGCAGCCUACUGAAGCAGUCACGUCCAGGACGACCAUCAGUGUCUGACGGAUACCAUUGAAGCUGUGCGAGCAAGUUAUCUGCGUAGCCCGAAGAAAUCAGUGCGGAAGUGUUCCGUCGAGUUAGGCGUUUCAAAAACAACUACGCUUUACUGGUUAUAAAAUGUAGGUGUUACAUAAAAUUUAUCCACAGGACAAAAUUAAACGAUUAGAAUUUGCUACAGACAUUCUGGAUAGGUUAGAUCAUGAUGGGGAAUUUUUAGACAAGUUUAUGUUCAGUGAUGAGGCUAUGUUUCAUGUUCGGGACGAGUCUAUCGGCCUAAUGUUAGAAUAUGGGGUAAUGAACCUUCAUAUGUCAUUAUGGAACAUCAACGUGAUAGCCCAAAAGUUAAUGUGUGGUGCGCAAUUGGACGAGACAGAGUUAUUGGCCCCUUCUUUUUUGCUGAACAAACUGUGACGGGAAAGAACUUCCUGGAUAUGUUAGAAGGGUAUACAGUGCUCCAAAUACCGGAGAAUUUCAUUCUCCAAUUAGAUGGAGCUCCUCCACAUUUUGCCACAUUCGUGCGGGAUUACCUAAACCAAACAUUUCCUCAGCGAUGGGUCGGACGAGGAGGGUGGAUAGCCUGGACUCCACGCUCUCCAAAUCUUACCCGUAUGGAUUUUUAUUUGUGGGGUUAUGUGAAGCAACAAGUGAAGAAAGAAAUCUGUUCUUAUGCUUAGCAACAUGCCAUGGAGGAGUAUGGGUAAGUUCUACUUAUUAUUAACCAUGACACUAGAUAGAGACUAGUCAGCUUCAGAUUGUAUUUAAUCUCUGGAUUCCUGUUGCAAUAACCCUCAAUAUCAAUGUGACAGGAGGCUGAGUGGGCACUGAAGCUGGUUUGGACACAUGGAAAACAAAAUCCAUGCCUGUGUCUGCCAGAGAUUGAACCUGUCAUCUGGCCCACAUAGCCAGCAAGUUCAUUUACUGAUCUGUCAUGGUUCCCUGUUAGGCAUUAGAGUCAUGUGUACUUGAAAUUUGAUUAAGAAUAGAAGGAGAAUUAUAAUGUAGAUCAAGAAUCAUUAUCCCUACAAUUUCACUGCUUGGAAAUCUGCUUUACUUUUCACAAAUUUAUGGAAGAUUAUUCUCAGAAUUCUUGCACUGGUCUGUGAGUCUAAUUUUCCUACUUGACCAUUGAAGGAAAGAAGGUUAAUAUAUAUUUACCCAAAAUUAUAACAAACUGUUUCUUCAACAAUUAUUUUGGUUUUCAUUAAAGUUUAAGAAGUCCCUUCCAGUGUUGUUAGUAUUUAUAUACCUGCAAUGUAAUAUAUACAGAUUUUUCCAUGUGUUCUUUUGAGUGAAUUGUUUUCUUAUACUACUGUCUGUAAGGAAUUUGUUAAAGAAUAUUUAACCUUGUUUCCAGUCCACAAGUAAGCUCUUUGGCCAGCGCUGUAGUGUUUCAUUUUUACAUGUUUGGUCUCUUUAUUUUGCAGCUAAUAAAUAACAAUAUUUUUAUAUAUUCUUAAGGUAGAAGCUCAAUCUAUAUUCUUGAAGUGUUAUAGUGUUUUAGGAAGUUGUAUACAUUGUGAAUAUUAAUUAAUUAUUAAGGUCUUUAAAACAGACAAACGUGCAGAGAAUAAUCAUACUAUCAUGUAUACUACACUAAUUGUAGCUUUUACGCAUUGUUUGCAUGACAUGCACACAUGGGGCUGAUCAUGUCUGUUUGUCCACGAUUUAACUUGAACUGCUAGACACAUCUGAAUGAAAUUUGGUAUGAAUGUUAAGUUACUGAAGGCUAUCAUAUAAUUGUACUUUUUAAUAUCCUACAGUCCAUAAUACCAACAUGGUGGAUGAAUGAACUUGUUAAGUGGGACAUAUACUACUGCAUGCAGUGAUGUACAGCAAGAAAUGUAAAGCUGUCCCACUACAUGCCAUUAUGGUACUGGGGGGGGGGAAUUGCUCCAUUUUUCAUGGGUAAGAAUAUUUUCCUGAGUGCUUUGUUUUCUGACACUUAUAAUUUGCAAUUUGUCUUCAAAGUAAAACACAUCAAAUGGAAAAAUUGUUUGUAUAUGUUGAUAUUCUGCACUUUGGAAAGACGAGGGCAAUGAAAGCAUAAGUACGUUAUUCCACACACAACAGGAUGUGAAAAGGUAGAUUGAACCAUCUCUAUAAAUGUUUCACUUAAAUAACUAUCUUCAGUUAUGAAACUGAACAUACGUUGUGUUGUAUAUGUUGUAAUAUUAUCUGAUUAUGUAUCAUAUGUGUAUGUUGUGGUAACAUCUCCAGUAAGGAUUGAUACAUUUGCAUUACAUAAUAUACUUUUGCAAUGCUUGAAAUGGUAUUGAUGUGAUGAAAAUUCUUGUAUUUGAAUAUUAAUUCCAACUCCUUCUAAGAGUUGACCAAUAUUUAUCACUCUUCUUUUAAUAAAACCUACUACUUGCAUGUAGAAUUAUUAAAUAUGCAUUCCUAUACUAGAAUAACAAUUAUGUCCAUACACUAUAUCCCAGAAAUUUAAGUGCUUGAUUUUGUUCAAAUAAUGUUUUAAAACUGCUGUUGAGUUUGAAUGAGAUCUUCUUCAUCCAUACUCUUAGUUUAAAGGGAGAGUGAGGUUAUAUGGGAUUACUAUAUGUAUGUGUGCAUGUAAUUCUCAAAAAAGUAGGAAUCGUCCAAGAUAUGCAACAGGUGCAUAAUUGGGAGUUGCAUAAUUAGUUUACUGCAGUGCAAAUUGUCCCUGCAUGUGAAAUGUAUGUGAGAGACAGACUGAUUUAUGCAAUCAUUCAAUAAAGUGUGUUGAGAAAUGUGAA